GGAAAGAUGGCAGAGUGGCUUAAUGCGGCGGUUUCGAAAACCGUUAUAGUAAGACAAUUAUUAUCAAGGGUUCGAAUCCCUUUCUUUCCUA
rnacentral:tRNA from 1 species